rnacentral:rRNA from 1 species
GACGUAGGAGGCGAGCGUUGGCCGGAUUCAUUGGGCGUAAAGAGCACGCAGGCGGUUUGGCAAGUCGGAUGUGAAAACCCGGAGCUCAACUCCGGACCUGCAUCCGAAACUGCCCGACUAGAGGUAGGUAGGGGAGAUCGGAAUUCCUGGUGUAGCGGUGAAAUGCGCAGAUAUCAGGAGGAACACCGGUGGCGAAGGCGGAUCUCUGGGCCUUACCUGACGCUCAGGUGCGAAAGCUAGGGGAGCGAACAGG